UACGUAGGGGCCGAGCGUUGUCCGGAAUUACUGGGCGUAAAGAGCUCGUAGGUGGUUUGUCGCGUUGUUCGUGAAAACUCACAGCUCAACUGUGGGCGUGCGGGCGAUACGGGCAGACUGGAGUACUGCAGGGGAGACUGGAAUUCCUGGUGUAGCGGUGGAAUGCGCAGAUAUCAGGAGGAACACCGGUGGCGAAGGCGGGUCUCUGGG
rnacentral:rRNA from 1 species